ACAACGAAAAGGUCAUUACGUUUGCAAGUGAAUGUAUAUAAAGCGCAAAUAUUCAUCCACUGUCAUAACAUUUCCCAAUUAUCAGAGAAACCAUGUUGAAGUCCUUACGUGUACUGAUUUUUGUGUGUUCCACGUUUACCGUUUCAGCGACUUUAAUACCUCGGACAGCCACUAAGUGAUUUACAGACGCCGAAUGUGGACAAGAUGAAUGCUGUUUCCGCCACGAGGGACCGUGAAUAGCCAGCAAACGCCAAGACGGGUUACUCACGGGAAUUCAUUUCGGUGUGUGCGAGAAGUACCAGGGGCUUGGAGAUUUAUGCAAUUCCAUCGAUAAAAUGAAUGGUCACUGUGGCUGCGGGUCAGGACUCACCUGUUCAGCGAUCCACCACACCACAGUCACUCCAACAUUCCAAAAACGUACCUACGUACCUGGGCAAUGUCAGUCCAACAUAUA